GCCCAAAAAAUAAAUAAAUAUCUCUCUCUUUUUUCUUCUUUUGGAAAAAAACUCCUGUUGCCAUAAGCCCAUAAUAACAAUAAUAAUAACAAAACCCUACUCUUACCUCCUAAACAAUCACCCAAAUCUUCUUUUCUUAUCAAACUUUAAGUCCAAACAACUAGUUUCUUUCAAGGCGGUUACAAAGAUCUGUUUAGAGAAGUUCUGUUUCCUAGGCCUUGUUUAGAUGUGAAAAGAUUUUGGAUUUUACUACUGUAGCAU
rnacentral:lncRNA from 1 species